AGCCUGAUGUCUCUUAUUGUACAGCCUGCGGGCUAAGAAUGAGCUUUACAGUUUUUUAGAUGGUUGGGGAACAAAAAAAUCAAAACAAGAAUAUUCGGUGACGUGAAAAUGAUAGGAAAUUAAGUUUCGGCAGCCAUAAAUAAAGUUUUAUUGGAACACAGCCCCUCUCAUUCGUUUACAUUUUGUCUACAGCUGCUUUCAUGCUACCACGGCAGGGAUUUGUAUGGCCCACAAAACUGAAAAUAUUUACUAGCCAGUCCGUUACAGACAAAGGGCUGACCCAGGGACAAUCUUGACCUGAGACAGCUCAAACCUCCCCGUCUCUUGUUUCUUUUCAUCCUCUGCCCUUUCGUCAAUUAACCUCCAGGGUACUCUCAGCCCAGGACCACCCUAAGCUGCCCUUCCCCUCUUACUCUCUAUCCUCUGGCUGCUUUUCCUACUGCCUUUUUUCCUGUCUUCUCUGAUCCUCUCCAAGUAGCAAGGACCCGUCCAGGGCCAAUCCAGAGUGUGUGGGGCCUGACACGCCAAAGACGCGGGCGAGGGGAGCGGCCUUGCUCGGGGACAGGUGGCCGUCAGACUCGAGGCUCUGCAAGGGGCUGCACAGCGAGGGCCCUGAAGCCGCAGCUUCGUUUGCUCCGUGUUGAACGCCUCUGUACGGCUCUUGGGCUUAUAGACUAAGACAAACAAUAACGCAAUGAGCUCGCCGCGUCUAAGGUGCACUUUGCAUACUUUUCUCAUGGAAGCUCCACAUCUCUUUGCUGUAGGUCACUAUUGGUCAACAAAAUGGGCAAAUCAAAUUUAAAGAGGGAGCAGAAGGCAGAAGGAAAGAAGAGAGGAGAAUAAAAGGACCACAGGCAAGCCGACUUCAGAGGUCAUCUCUUCAUCCAUGCUGGUGAGCACUUGGAAGGAGAGCAUGAACUAAUGACCAUCCGAUCCGUGGCAGGCUGCAGAACAGAACGUGAGGGAGAAAGGAGCCGUAGAUGCUUUCUUAAGUGACCUGCAGAAAAAGGGAGGCUCUUGGGCCUGAAGUUUAAAGAAAUAAGUGAAGGAGGUCAAAAGGAAGAUCAGCCCUGAGCUAACAUCUGCUGCCAAUCCUCCUCUUUUUGCUGAGGAAGCCUGGCCCUGAGCUAACAUCUGUGCUCAUCUUCCUCUACUUUAAAUGUGGGACACCUACCACAGCAUGGCUUGCCAAGAAGUGCCAUGUCUGCAUCCAGGAUCCAAACCGGUGAACCCUGGGCUACCAAAGUGGAACGUGCUCACUAACCAUGGUGC
rnacentral:lncRNA from 1 species